UUCCUUGUGUGUGCAAGCACACUUGGCAAUAAAGCUCUUCUGAUUCUGAUUCUGAUUCUGAAUGUGUGGCCGCCAUUUUCUGCUGUGGGAUGAGGAGGGUUGAGGAGUUACGACGGAUUCUCUUGCUGUUUAAUUCGUUAUUGAUUUAAGAACAUCACGAACUGAACAUCAGCCUUCUAGUGAUAGAUUGUGAAUGUGGCAGUGCAAAGAAAGCUCCUGGGCCUCAUCAAAUGUCACCAUGUCCUAGGCUUGUCGAACUACUUGAGGGCCUCAGCCAUUGAGGAUGCAGAAAGUGGCAUUGCAAGCACAGUCAUGGGGAUUUACACAAUUCGAGGAGAAGGUUCUACAAAACCAGAUGAUGUAGGAAUAGUGAUCGAGGGCAUCAAGGUUUUGAGUAACCUAGACUGUGUGAUUUUUGUAUUCAUCAUGCUGUACAGUCUAAUUUAUGCUCUUGACCAAAGCUUUCCUGACAACCUCAAGAACACAUUUUUUUAGGAGUUUAUCCAAAAAAUAAUAAUGAACUUGGAUGGACAUAAGAUGACUACAAAGAUUCAGCAUCUUAAAAUUAAGCUGUUUGCAUGACAUGCUCAUUUUUUGGGACAUUUGCAUGAAUUGAGGAUUGAUGAGGAUUUCUAUAUCAAUGUAAAAACACCUGUUGCAUCAAAUAGCCAAGGGAGGAUUUUAUAUGCAUCUAUGUUAUUUUUUGAUGUUUUUCAUAUAUCUGACUUUAAGCACUUUACAUGCUGAUGGACUAAAGUAAAGACAAUACAUGUAUUUCUAGUUGGUUAUUCUAGUCUAGCAAGUCAUUAGGCUUCAGAAAUGUUAAUUUUAUCGUUGAUGUGUAC